GGUCAAGUUAUUAAGGGUGCAGGGCGGAUGCCUUGGCACUAGGAGCCGAUGAAGGACGUGAUAAGCUGCGAUAAGCUUCGGGGAGUUGCACGUAAACUUUGAUCCGAAGAUUUCCGAAUGAGGAAACUCACUUAGAGUAAUGUCUAAGUAUCAUUAAGUGAAUACAUAGCUUAAUGAGGGGAACUCAGGGAACUGAAACAUCUAAGUACCUGAAGGAAGAGAAAGAAAUUCGAUUCCGUAAGUAGCGGCGAGCGAACGCGGAUUAGCCCAAACCAAUAAAGUUUUCUUUAUUGGGGUUGCGGACAUAUCAUAACGAAGAGGUAUCGUAAU
rnacentral:rRNA from 1 species